GCCUUUGUGGUGUAGUGGUCAGCACGCUGGGCGCGUAUUCCAAAAGUCCGCAGUUCGAGUCCCGGCGAAGGCG
rfam:Stegodyphus mimosarum contig22161, whole genome shotgun sequence.